CGUGCUUUGAAGAAUCUGCCGAAAAACGAAGGAUUAUUUAACAACAGUGAUUGUAUUAAGAUUUGACUGGAUUUGGCAAGAUGCCCUUGCUCAUUAAAGAAGAUGGAGAUGUGGCUUUUAUCAGACUGUUGACAUGCCAGCUUUUUCACUAUGUUGUUAGUAAAGCAUCUUUCAGAGAAAAGGCUCAUGUAGUCUGGCUUGACAGUGUUGUCAACUGGAACACAUUCUCCGGGGUGUAGAGAUUUAUUUACAGACUGUCCACCAGGUCGAGUUGGAGGAAGGGUGUCCCAGGGAUGAAUUGUUCAUCUAUUCUGCAUCAGUAAAGCAGUGGUGGCGUGGCACUGACUUUAAACUAUUUAAGAUCAAACUGUGACAAAAGCUUUACCUGUGCUGACUGCAGUCAGUUAUAUGUGACCCUGCCUGUGAAAAAACAGGAUAAGUCUUGAAAUGUAAUUAUGAUAUAAUGAGCAUCAAAGUGUUAUUUUCAUUACUUUCACAUUGAUUUUGACAUUUGACAUGAUUUUACUCAGUCAACCCCACACACCCAGCCAACUUUUUCUUUGAACUUUUGCCCUUUGGCCGGCGCUACAAAGCACUGAACACUAUAAACAACAGUUUGUUCCUCAGGUUAUAUACCUAAACAAUUAAAGCACCCAUAACUUCCACACCUGUCAUAACUGUAUAUUGUUUAUAAUCACC